GUUGGGUUGAUUGUGUAAAUAGACAAGAUAAGUUUUAAGUUUGAACGUGGGCAGUUUGUUAGGAUGAGGAAACAUUUGAGAAGUAGGGUUGUUUUAUUCCAAAAUGUUGAGAACGAGAGGGAGGAAGAGAGAAGCGGCAGUUGAGAGUUCUUCGAAAUAGAGCAGUAGUGGUCGAGAAGUUUUGUUCUUCGACUAGUGGAUUGUUAUCAACGUCGUGGCAUUUGGUUGCAUCCUUUCGGAUUUAAGGUUAGUUCAUGGAGCAUUGUAGUGAACUCUGUGGCAUUGUCGGGACCUUCUGUUUGGACCUCUAGGGCGUCUGCAUUUUUAUUUCUUUUAUAUUGUCAAAUAGCUUCCUCACUUUUAUUUAUCGGCAGUUCAUUGUUAAAUUUGGAGUUGGAGAAUAUUGGAUGUUGUGUCCAUCUUGUUUAACAAAACUACUGGUUUUGAGUUUGCACAUUUUGCUUUAAUAAAAUAUCCAGUUUUUCUUUAUUUGUUUCAAGUUGUUAAAAAAUAUUUUUAAUUAGGCUUCGUGUCCCAUGAUUGCUUCAUGGUACACGGCCGGUCAUGCUCCCGGAUUUGGGGCGUGA